UACGAAGGGGGCUAGCGUUGCUCGGAUUCACUGGGCGUAAAGGGUGCGCAGGCGGCCGUGUGUGUGAGGCGUGAAAGCCCGGGGCUUAACCCCGGAAUUGCACCUCAAACUACAUGGCUAGAGCAUUGGAGAGGGUAGCGGAAUUCACGGUGUAGCAGUGAAAUGCGUAGAUAUCGUGAGGAACACCAGAGGCGAAGGCGGCUACCUGGACAAUUGCUGACGCUCAGGCACGAAAGCGUGGGGAGCAAAAGGG
rnacentral:rRNA from 1 species